AUUGUUUCCCAAGACUCGUUAUUAUGAUAUCUUCAUAUCUUUCUUUCAUUUUCGCCGCAAAUAUAAGUUUGAUAGACGAUUGUCAGUUUCGGCGCGAAUUGUAAUCAGUAAACAUCAACUGGGAGAAACAGAGAAACCACUUGAAGCAAGCACGCCGGGCCUCUUGUUUGCAGAAAUUGCUCCUGCGACCCUUAUGAGGAUAAGCGGCUUGGAAAAUGGAUGGAUGGAUGUCCUCUUUGGCUCAAAAAGCUAGCAAGACAGGAGAAGAGAAGAAGAAGAAGAAAUUCAUCCCUCACUUCCUCAUUUUCAACCAAUCGCACGCCAUUCGGUGAGUCUAAAUGCUCCUGCUUUGCUACCAAACACAACCGGUCGUCCUGCAAAAUCUUUUGACUUUUUGCUUUGUCACCUCGCUGGUUUUAAACAUAUACAGUAAAUAUCUUUAAAUAUAGUUAUUAUAGCUUUACCUAGAAAACACAGCUGGAUCGCUUUAGUGUGUUAAUUAAAUAAAAGCUGGUAAAAGUGCCGCCCCCUCCAUUUUUCCAUAUGCGGCCAGCCCUGGCACAGUGCCAUUGAAAUUAAAAUGGUGAAAUUGAGGCAAGAUUUGAAAAGUGGAUCGAUGGCGGCAACGAGGCCAAGUUGUGAUUAGGAGUCAGCAAAAAAAAAAAAAAAAGUGCCGUCGUGCUUAUGAGUCAGCUGGGCAGGGCGGUCAUUUUGCACCCGGAGAAUGCGGCGACGCGGAAUUGGAAAGCUAUUUCCAACCUGAAAUUACACGACCCGCCGCCAGCCGCGUUGCCUGGCAACCACAUUGUUAGGUGGGGGGAGAGUGACUGACGACCCCCCCCCCCACCCCCCGCCCAAACACACCCUCCCCUUCGUCAUUAUUACAGCUUUGUGGUCAGAUCGUGGAAAAACUAAAUUGU